rnacentral:lncRNA from 1 species
AAUGGCUUUUAUGGCGUAGGCUAUACGUGCUGUGUCAGACAGGUGUUUUGUAAACACUUAAUUUGUUUCAAAAAUACCCUUCAUAACCAAGGCAAAGGAGCAACACUUUCUCAUUGCUGCAACAGCCUGCUUUUGGGUCUAUAAAAGCACUGGACUGGAAGACAAGAGGUUUGUGAUCCGACUGCUGGGAAAGAAGAAAAAAAAAAAGGCAAAAAACCCUCAGGUUGACUCAACAUAUACGGCUGUUUUUUUUUUUUUUAAAAUUCACUUUUUUUACAAUAGAGAACAGCACUACAAAACAUAGGCAAAAAAUACUUGCUUUGGAGCACGUUCGGGGUGUGAGGUUACAUCUUUUGCUUAAGGUGUUUGAUGACAGUAACCUGGAUAACAAGCUGCGGGUGAACAGAGUGUGGAAGCAACUACGGUUCAGGUUAAG